GACGAACGCUGGCGGCGUGCUUAACACAUGCAAGUCGAACGAAGUGGCGAACGGGUGAGUAACGCGUAAUCAACCUGCCCUUCAGAGGGGGACAACAGUUGGAAACGACUGCUAAUACCGCAUACUGAAGGAGGGGAAUGCGUGGGAUAAGCUAGUUGGGGGGGUAACGGCCCACCAAGGCGAUGAUCAGUAGCCGGUCUGGGAGGAUGGACGGCCACAUUGGGACUGAGACACGGCCCAGACUCCUACGGGAGGCAGCAGUGGGGAAUCUUCCGCAAUGGACGAAAGUCUGACGGAGCAACGCCGCGGGAGUGAUGACGGCCUUCGGGUUGUAAAGCUCUGUUAAUCGGGACGCGGUACCGGAAUAGAAAGCAACGGCUAACUACGUGCCAGCAGCCGCGGUAAUAC
rnacentral:rRNA from 1 species